GACGAACCGUGCGAACGUUGUUCGGAAUCACUGGGCUUAAAGGGCGCGUAGGCGGGCCCGCCAGUCUGUGGUGAAAGCCCCCGGCUCAACCGGGGAAGUGCCGUGGAUACUGCGGGUCUCGAGGGAGGUGAGGGCGGUGUGGAACUUCCGGUGGAGCGGUGAAAUGCGUGAGAUAUCGGAAAGGAACGCCGGUGGCGAAAGCGACGCGCUGGACCUCUACUGACGCGUGGAGGCGACGAAAGCCCAGGGGAGCAAACGGG
rnacentral:rRNA from 1 species